UCAUGACCAAUGAUGAUAACGUUUUGAUGAGAACUAAAAUGUUAGAAACCUUGCAUACCGAUGGAAAGUGCAGCCCUUUGUAAUCUUGACAGGUGUUUAAAAGUAUUAGACAUCAGUUGUAAGGCCGAAGGGACAUUAUACUGUGAACAAUAAACAUAAAUAUCAAAAUGCUGAAUGUAUGGCAUUCCGAAUAGGUACCUAUAUAUUCGAUUCAUUACACACGUGGCGUUAAGCCGGCGUCAGUAAUUUGAAAACGGAUUUAAAUGGACGUUUCGAAAGUAUUCCAAAAAAUAUUACUAUGUGUAAGUUUUUUGUGAAAAAAUCAAGUGUCUAUUAAAAAAUCGUUGUCGGUACGUUAUCGUCGUGUCUUAUAGUCACGUCGUGUGCGAGUCUUAGGUACGAAUUCGUGUAGUACCGACGAGACCUGGUCGUCGUGAUCCAUUUUGUUUAAUGUUUUUCACGUACAUUAUUAUUAGUAUUAACACUAAUGAUUUUU